rnacentral:rRNA from 1 species
AGGACGAACGCUGGCGGCGUGCUUAACACAUGCAAGUCGAGCGAACCUUCGGGUUAGCGGCGAACGGGUGAGUAACACGUGGGCAACCUGCCCCGAGCUCUGGGAUAACUCCGGGAAACCGGGGCUAAUACCGGAUAUGACCCGAGAAGACAUCUUCUCGGGUGGAAAGUUUUUCGGCUCGGGAUGGGCCCGCGGCCUAUCAGCUUGUUGGUGGGGUAACGGCCUACCAAGGCGACGACGGGUAGCCGGCCUGAGAGGGCGACCGGCCACACUGGGACUGAGACACGGCCCAGACUCCUACGGGAGGCAGCAGUGGGGAAUAUUGCGCAAUGGCGAAAGCCUGACGCAGCGACGCCGCGUGAGGGAUGAAGGCCUUCGGGUUGUAAACCUCUUUCAGCAGGGACGAAGCGAAAGCGACGGUACUGCAGAAGAAGCACCGGCCAACGUACGCGCCAGCAGCCGC